rnacentral:rRNA from 1 species
UUAGGAAUAUUCGUCAAUGGGGGCAACCCUGAACGAGCAAUGCCGCGUGAGUGAUGACGGUCCUUUGGAUUGUAAAACUCUGUUGUUUAGGAAAAAUUAUAUAAAGAGGAAAUGCUUUAUAUUUGAUGGUACUAUUCAAGAAAGCCACGGCUAACUACGUGCCAGCAGCCGCGGUAAUACGUAGGUGGCGAGCGUUAUCCGGAUUUAUUGGGCGUAAAGCGUCCGCAGACGGUUUGUUAAGUCUAAAAUCAAAGCCCGAAGCUUAACUUCGGUUCGUUUUAGAAACUGGCAGACUUGAGUGUAGUAGAGGCAAGUGGAAUUUCUAGUGUAGCGGUAGAAUGCGUAGAUAUUAGAAGGAACACCAGUGGCGAAGGCGACUUGCUGGGCUAUAACUGACGUUCAUGGACGAAAGCGUGGGGAGCAAAUAGG